GACGAACGCUGGCGGCGUGCUUAACACAUGCAAGUCGAACGGUGAAGCCCUUCGGGGUGGAUCAGUGGCGAACGGGUGAGUAACACGUGAGCAACCUGCCCCUGGCUCUGGGACAACCACUGGAAACGGUGGCUAAUACCGGAUACGACCCGCCUCGGCAUCGAGUGUGGGUGGAAAGUUUUUCGGCUGGGGAUGGGCUCGCGGCCUAUCAGCUUGUUGGUGAGGUGAAGGCUCACCAAGGCGACGACGGGUAGCCGGCCUGUGAGGGCGACCGGCCACACUGGGACUGAGACACGGCCCAGACUCCUACGGGAGGCAGCAGUGGGGAAUAUUGCACAAUGGGCGAAAGCCUGAUGCAGCGACGCCGCGUGAGGGAUGACGGCCUUCGGGUUGUAAACCUCUUUCAGCUCCGAAGAAGCGAAAGUGACGGUAGGAGCAGAAGAAGCACCGGCUAACUACGUG
rnacentral:rRNA from 1 species